rnacentral:rRNA from 1 species
CCUACGGGUUGCACCAGUGGGGAAUAUUGCACAAUGGGCGCAAGCCUGAUGCAGCCAUGCCGCGUGUAUGAAGAAGGCCUUCGGGUUGUAAAGUACUCUCAGCGGGGAGGAAGGUGUUGUGGUUAAUAACCACAGCAAUUGACGUUACCCGCAGAAGAAGCGCCGGCUAACUCCGUGCCAGCAGCCGCGGUAAUACGGAGGGUGCAAGCGUUAAUCGGAAUUACUGGGCGUAUAGCGCGCGCAGGCGGUCUGUCAAGUCGGAUGUGAAAUCCCCGGGCUCAACCUGGGAACUGCAUUCGAAACUGGCAGGCUAGAGUCUUGUAGAGGGGGGUAGAAAUCCAGGUGUAGCGGUGAAAUGCGUAGAGAUCUGGAGGAAUACCGGUGGCGAAGGCGGCCCCCUGGACAAUGACUGACGCUCAGGUGCGAAAGCGUGGGGAGCAAACAGGAUUAGAUACCCGUGUAGUC